UACAGAGGUCUCAAGCGUUGUUCGGAUUCAUUGGGCGUAAAGGGUGCGUAGGUGGCGCGGUAAGUCGGGUGUGAAAUCUCGGAGCUUAACUCCGAAAUUGCAUUCGAUACUGCCGUGCUUGAGGACUGGAGAGGAGACUGGAAUUUACGGUGUAGCAGUGAAAUGCGUAGAGAUCGUAAGGAAGACCAGUGGCGAAGGCGGGUCUCUGGACAGUUCCUGACACUGAGGCACGAAAGCCAGGGGAGCAAACGGG
rnacentral:rRNA from 1 species